rnacentral:RNase_P_RNA from 1 species
AGCGGACUGGACGGUUGCGGGCAGUAUUUAUACUGCGUGAGGAAAGUCCGAGCUUCACAGGGCAGGAUAACGGCUAACGGCCGCCGAGGGUGACCUUAGGGAAAGUGCAACAGAGAUAUACCGCCGGAUUUAAUCCGGUAAGGGUGGAAAGGCGAGGUAAGAGCUCACCGGCGUACAGGAGACUGUACGGCCAUGUAAACCCUAUCCGAAGCAACACCGACUGGAGACACACGCUUGCCCGGCGUAUUUUCCGAAAGGUGGCUAAAGGGGCGCAGCAAUGCGUACCGUAGAUAGAUAACCGUCUUAAAAGACAGAACUCGGCUUACAGGUUCGGUC